UUCCAGAUAUAACUCCCCUGUAUCUAGCAGCUGAGCCAGGUUCAUGGGUUUUUACUUUACCAUCCAGUGUAGUCCAGUAGUUGCAGCAACUGACGUAGUAGCAGCAGUAGGAGUAGCAGUACAGUAGUAGUUGUAGCAGUAGUAGAUUUGGCAGUACAGCAGUAGUCCUGGUAGGUGAUAUACGUGUAGCAGUCAAAGCAUGCUAUCUGCUCACACUAAUAAUAACACAGGUCAUGUAAUGUUUCCUCCUGCAGGUGUUUGUCCACAGAGACUUCAGUGAAGUUCGAGAUCAAGCCAUGAAAAUGAUCCAGACAGUCUUCACUCUACUAGACCAGCAGUUCCAGAAACUGGAUCGGAGCUGCAGGAGAUGAUGGACACACAUCGCUCUCAAAAUGAGGCGUGGCGAGAGCUGAGGAGAAUGACAGAGAAAGGAGGGAGCUCUGUAGACUCAGAGAGGAGAUGUUGCAGGAGCAGGAGAGGCUGAAGGAGGAGCAUCCAGAAACGUAGUGAACAUCUUCAGUCCAUCAUGCAGCAGUUCAAAGGAAUGUGAGAUAGAUGGUUUUGUCCCUUGGUCUGUU